GAUAAACGCUGGCGGCAUGCCUAAUACAUGCAAGUCGAGCGAACAGAUGAGGAGCUUGCUCCUCUGACGUUAGCGGCGGACGGGUGAGUAACACGUGGAUAACCUACCUAUAAGACUGGGAUAACUUCGGGAAACCGGAGCUAAUACCGGAUAAUAUAUUGAACCGCAUGGUUCAAUAGUGAAAGACGGUUUUGCUGUCACUUAUAGAUGGAUCCGCGCCGCAUUAGCUAGUUGGUAAGGUAACGGCUUACCAAGGCAACGAUGCGUAGCCGACCUGAGAGGGUGAUCGGCCACACUGGAACUGAGACACGGUCCAGACUCCUACGGGAGGCAGCAGUAGGGAAUCUUCCGCAAUGGGCGAAAGCCUGACGGAGCAACGCCGCGUGAGUGAUGAAGGUCUUCGGAUCGUAAAACUCUGUUAUUAGGGAAGAACAAAUGUGUAAGUAACUAUGCACGUCUUGACGGUACCUAAUCAGAAAGCCACGGCUAACUACGUG
rnacentral:rRNA from 1 species